GACGAACGCUGGCGGCGUGCUUAACACAUGCAAGUCGAACGGAAAGGCCCUGCUUUUGUGGGGUGCUCGAGUGGCGAACGGGUGAGUAACACGUGAGUAACCUGCCCUUGACUUUGGGAUAACUUCAGGAAACUGGGGCUAAUACCGGAUAGGAGCUCCUGCUGCAUGGUGGGGGUUGGAAAGUUUCGGCGGUUGGGGAUGGACUCGCGGCUUAUCAGCUUGUUGGUGGGGUAGUGGCUUACCAAGGCUUUGACGGGUAGCCGGCCUGAGAGGGUGACCGGCCACAUUGGGACUGAGAUACGGCCCAGACUCCUACGGGAGGCAGCAGUGGCGAAUAUUGCACAAUGGGCGGAAGCCUGAUGCAGCAACGCCGCGUGCGGGAUGACGGCCUUCGGGUUGUAAACCGCGUUCGCCUGUGACGAAGCGUGAGUGACGGUAAUGGGUAAAGAAGCACCGGCUAACUACGUG
rnacentral:rRNA from 1 species